GUGCCCCCUAUUCGCCCACUUUGGACCAAUAAUUGUCCUUGGUGACCAACACAGGGGGGCAGAGUAAAACUCUCUCAUAAACCUGUAGUGAAGGCACAAAUCCUCACUGCGGAUCCUGUCGGGAGAAACAACC
ensembl:snoRNA